GGUUUCAUGGGAACGGUUAGUUAACUGGACCUUAGCGAGCUCUCGAAAACCAGGAACAAGAGCAAGAGUAGGAGUAGAGCAGAGAGCGUGUCCUCUGCCGCCGCCGAUGACCUGCACUGAGCCGCCGCCGCUGACCUGGACCACCACCAUGAGUCGCCGCCACCGAUGUAGGGACGGUCCUCUGGUGUUAAGUCUACUCGAUCCACAACCUCUACCUACUUUGCCUCUCCCCACUGGUGCAGCAACCUCUGCCGAAGCUAAAAGGAGAAAACAAACAAGGGCUCGUCUCCAAUGGUUCUAAAGACACUUCGUGUUCACGAGGAGAUGGCCAUCCUAUUUUUUGUCGUACUGUAGAGUUCCUACCCAUCGUGUCUCCUGGCAUGGGGAAUAUGUCUCACUGGGAUGUUAACCUACGUUUCUCAACAACCUCUUAAACGUUCUAUGUAUACCGUGAUGGUGACUGAUAGUAUGUCACACCUUUCCGUUUCUAUAUCGUGUCUUUCUCUAAAUACCAUCGUACUCCGUUUCAAAAGUUAUAAACAAAUUGAAGCUUCGCCUUCAACUCUUCUCUAGGGGUCCGUUGUAACAUCUCCACCUAUACUUCUACCAAGUGCCAUAUCAAGUGAAAUUGGCUAAGAAAUACCGAGAAUUUGGAACGUAACUACCGAAAUUUCGACCAACAUCUGGUACAGAAUCAUAUCUGAGUUGACGUGAAUAGCGAUUUACCUCUCCAGUGAAUCGGCGAACAUGUCGUAAUCUACCCGUAUUAACCUACAUAGGACAUCGUAAACGUAAGUAACUACCAUUUCGGCUGCUUUUAACCUGUACCAAGUACAGUGUUGAGUUGUUCCGUAAUCCAGUACAAAGGGGAGAUCGAUAUACGUAUCUACGUACAUUUCCAAAUCUCUUACGUCAGUUUUUUAUAAGGGAGUACGUCUAGUUUCCCUCACAAAAUCCGUAGAGUACCGAUUGAAGAGAUUUUUCAAGGUUCCUCUACACAAACCGUCUUACACCGGUCGACGAUCCCGUAUAUUCGGUAUUCAAAAAUUGAUGGUGUACUUAUUUUAGGAUCGUCUUCGUGGACUACACGUACUUAUAGAAAGUUCCAUGGUGUUGAAUUUUACCUACUCUACGUACAAACUGGGGAGGUAAUUUACACUAAUGUAGUUGAUAUUGGAACGGCUCAGAAAAUUACCAACCUAAUUUCUAAUGUUUCUAAACGGUGGACUACUCGAUCGACUGUGAGAAUCUCUCGAUCAGUACUUUGAAGUACUCUUUUCCUCUUUCUAACCUUACUUUGACUUUCCUUUUUAAUAAGGUCGGUAGUAGGUUGUUUAAGUAUUAUCCUGUUCCCCUGAAUUUGUAAACUUUCAACCCUUUAGACCUCAACGUUCAACACUCCACUCCCUGUGUUCAUUUAUGUUGAACGCUGUACAGCACUUUUGAACGCUGUACACUCGACUACUCCGUUGUGUACGUCGUGGUGUUGAACUUCAACAACACUGAGGGUUAUCCGUGUGCUAGUGAUACGGUGACUUAGAAGUUCCAUCAGGGUUAGGACACUGAUCUUCCAUUUGUGUAGUUGACAAGAAACAUUACAAUUAAAAAGGAAGGUUUAGAAUAUAAAGAGUUGUGUACGUCCUACAACCGAUACCGUAACCGACUACUCCGUAGCGUCGUUGGAUGGGGUUAACACUUCCUGUGGUGCUACCGUAUACUGUACCGGAGUUGGAGCUUUCGAUCCUUCAACUGGGGCUUCUCUUCCUUCUAGAUCACAACACGUAGUAGAAGAUACAAGAGAUACGAAAACCAACAUCAUACAGUCUGAACCGUGGGUAAUGAAACACACGUUGUACCGUGGUUAAUAACGGAAUACAAAAACCAACAUUAUACGGUCUGAACCGUCGGGGAUGAUUAAACACGUUGUAGUGUCGGAAUACAAUCUACUACAUACUUUUACCUACUACAUACCUGUACACUUUAUAUACAAAAUUCGAUAUAAC
rnacentral:rRNA from 1 species